ACGGAGGAUGCGAGCGUUAUCCGGAUUUAUUGGGUUUAAAGGGCGCGUAGGUGGACUGUUUAGUCAGUGGUGAAAUGCUGAUGCUCAACGUUAGCAUUGCCGUUGAAACUGUCAGACUUGAGUAUGAUAGGGGAAAGUGGAAUUCGCGGUGUAGAGGUGAAAUUCGUAGAUAUCGGGAGGAAUACCGGUGGCGAAGGCGACUUUCUGGCUGAAUACUGACGCUGAGGCGCGAAAGCGUGGGGAGCAAACAG
rnacentral:rRNA from 1 species